GGGGUCUUAGCUCAGGGGUAGAGCGCUCGCUUUGCAUGCGAGAAGUCAAGCGUUCAAAUCGCUUAUUCUCCA